AGUGAACGCUGGCGGUAGGCCUAACACAUGCAAGUCGAACGGCAGCACAGUAAGAGCUUGCUCUUACGGUGGCGAGUGGCGGACGGGUGAGGAAUACAUCGGAAUCUACUUUUUCGUGGGGGAUAACGUAGGGAAACUUACGCUAAUACCGCAUACGACCUACGGGUGAAAGCAGGGGAUCUUCGGACCUUUCGCGAUUGAAUGAGCCGAUGUCGGAUUAGCUAGUUGGCGGGGUAAAGGCCCACCAAGGCCACGCUCCGUAGCUGGUCUGAGCGGAUGAGCAGCCACACUGGAACUGAGACACGGUCCAGACUCCUACGGGAGGCAGCAGUGGGGAAUAUUGGACAAUGGGCGCAAGCCUGAUCCAGCCAUACCGCGUGGGUGAAGAAGGCCUUCGGGUUGUAAAGCCCUUUUGUUGGGAAAGAAAAGCAGCAGGUUAAUACCCCGCUGUUCUGACGGUACCCAAAGAAUAAGCACCGGCUAACUUCGUG
rnacentral:rRNA from 1 species